rnacentral:rRNA from 1 species
CCCUUAGAUGUUCUGGGCCGCACGCGCGCUACACUGAUUCAUGCAACAAGUUUUGUCCUUGGCUGAUAGGCCUGGGUAAUCUUUGAACGUGAAUCGUGAUGGGGAUAGAUGAUUGCAAUUAUUCAUCUUCAACGAGGAAUUCCUAGUAAACGCAAGUCAUCAGCCUGCAUUGAUUACGUCCCUGCCCUUUGUACACACCGCCCGUCGCACCUACCGAUUGAAUGGUCCGGUGAAAUCUUCGGAUCUGAGAGAUGUCUGAUUAAUUUCGGACGCCUUUUGGAAAAGUUGUUUAAACCUUACCAUUUAGAGGAAGGUGAAGUCGUAACA